rnacentral:rRNA from 1 species
AUGAACGCUGGCGGCGUGCCUAAUACAUGCAAGUCGAGCGAACAGACGAGGAGCUUGCUCCUCUGACGUUAUCGGCGGACGGGUGAGUAACACGUGGAUAACCUACCUAUAAGACUGGGAUAACUUCGGGAAACCGGAGCUAAUACCGGAUAAUAUCUUGAACCGCAUGGUUCAAUAGUGAAAGACGGUUUUGCUGUCACUUAUAGAUGGAUCCGCGCCGCAUUAGCUAGUUGGUAAGGUAACGGCUUACCAAGGCGACGAUGCGUAGCCGACCUGAGAGGGUGAUCGGCCACACUGGAACUGAGACACGGUCCAGACUCCUACGGGAGGCAGCAGUAGGGAAUCUUCCGCAAUGGGCGAAAGCCUGACGGAGCAACGCCGCGUGAGUGAUGAAGGUCUUCGGAUCGUAAAACUCUGUUAUUAGGGAAGAACAAAUGUGUAAGUAACUAUGCACGUCUUGACGGUACCUAAUCAGAAAGCCACGGCUAACUACGUG